rnacentral:rRNA from 1 species
UACGUAGGGACCAAGCGUUGUUCGGAUUUACUGGGCGUAAAGGGCGCGUAGGCGGCAUGACAAGUCACUUGUGAAAUCUCCGGGCUUAACUCGGAACGGUCAAGUGAUACUGUCGCGCUAGAGUGCGGAAGGGGCAAUCAGAAUUCUUGGUGUAGCGGUGAAAUGCGUAGAUAUCGGAAGGAACAUCAGUGGCGAAAGCGACUUCCUGGACCAGUACCGACGUUCAGGCACGAAAGCGUGGGGAGCAAACAGG